rnacentral:rRNA from 1 species
CCCCAGACUCCUACGGGAGGCAGCAGUGGGGAAUAUUGCACAAUGGGGGAAACCCUGAUGCAGCGACGCCGCGUGAGUGAAGAAGUAUUUCGGUAUGUAAAGCUCUAUCAGCAGGGAAGAAAAUGACGGUACCUGACUAAGAAGCCCCGGCUAACUACGUGCCAGCAGCCGCGGUAAUACGUAGGGGGCAAGCGUUAUCCGGAUUUACUGGGUGUAAAGGGAGCGUAGACGGCAUGGCAAGUCGGAUGUGAAAGCCCGGGGCUCAACCCCGGGACUGCAUUUGAAACUGUCAGGCUGGAGUGCAGGAGAGGUAAGUGGAAUUCCUAGUGUAGCGGUGAAAUGCGUAGAUAUUAGGAGGAACACCAGUGGCGAAGGCGGCUUACUGGACUGUAACUGACGUUGAGGCUCGAAAGCGUGGGGAGCAAACAGGAUUAGAUACCCCUGUA